GUCCCAAAUAUCCCCCAAAAUGUCACCAAAUGUCCCCAAAAAGUCCCAAAUAUCCCCAAUUGUCCCCCAAAAUGUCCUCAAAAAUGUCCAAAAUGUCCCCAAAACGACCCCAAAAUGUCCCAAAUGUCCCAAAAUGUCCCAAAUAUCCCAAAUGUCCCCAAAAAUGUCCCAAAUAUCCCCCAAAAUGUCCCCAAAUGUCCCCAAAGUGUCCCCAAAUGUCCCAAAAAUGUCCCAAUUGGCCCAAAAUAUCACCAAACGUCCCCCAAAAUGUCCCAAAAUGUCCCCCAAAAGUCCCAAAUAUCCCCCAAAAUGUCCCCGAAUGUCCCCAAAGUGUCCCAAAUGUCCCAAAUAUCCCACAAAAUGUCCAAAAUUGUCCCCAAAUAGUCCCAAAUAUCCCCCAAAAUGUCCCCAAAUGUCCCCAAAAGGUCCACAAAUGUCCCAAAAAUGUCCCCAAAACGUCCAAAAUAUCCACAAUUGUCCCCAAAAAUGUCCUCAAAAAUGUCCCAAAUGUCCCAAAUGUCCCCAAAAAUGUCCCAAAUGUCCCCAAAAAUGUCCCAAAUAUCCCCCAAAAUGUCCCCAAAUGUCCCCAAAAGGUCCACAAAUGUCCCAAAAAUGUCCCCAAAACGUCCAAAAUAUCCACAAUGGUCCCCAAAAAUGUCCUCAAAAAUGUCCCAAAUGUCCCAAAAACGACCCCAAAAUGUCCCAAAUAUCCCAAAUGUCCCCAAAAAUGUCCCAAAUAUCCCCCAAAAUGUCCCCAAAAGGUCCACAAAUGUCCCAAAAAUGUCCCCAAAACGUCCAAAAUAUCCACAAUUGUCCCUAAAAAUGUCCUCAAAAAUGUCCCAACUGUCCCAAAAACGACCCCAAAAUGUCCCAACUGUCCCCAAAUGUCCCAAAAUGUUCCAAAAAAUGUCCCAAAAUGUCCCAAAUGUCCCCAAAAUGUCCCAAAAUGUCCCCAAAAAGUCCCAAAUAUCCCCCAAAAUGUCCCCGAAUGUCCCCAAAGUGUCCCAAAUGUCCCAAAUAUCCCACAAAAUCUCCCAAAUUGUCCCCAAAUAGUCCCAAAUAUCCCCCAAAAUGUCCCCGAAUGUCCCCAAAGUGUCCCCAAAUGUCCCAAAAAGUCCCAAAUAUCCCCCAAAAUGUCCCCGAAUGUCCCCAAAGUGUCCCAAAUGACCCCAAAUAUCCCCACCAAAUGGCCCCGAAUGUCCCAAAUGUCCCAAAUGACCCCAAAUAUCCCCCCAAAAUGGCCCCAAAUUGUCCCAAAUGACCCCAAAUGUCCCCCCCAAAAUGGCCCCAAAUGUCCCAAAUGACCCCAAAUGUGCCCCCCAAAGUGGCCCCAAAUGUCCCAAAUGACCCCAAAUAUCCCCCCC
ensembl:lncRNA